UACGGGGGGGGCAAGCGUUGUUCGGAAUUACGUGGGCGUAAAGGGCUCGUAGGCGGCCAACUAAGUCGGAUGUGAAAUCCCCAGGCUUAACCUGGGAACUGCAUCCGAUACUGGAUGGCUUGAAUCCGGGAGAGGGAUGCGGAAUUCCAGGUGUAGCGGUGAAAUGCGUAGAUAUCUGGAGGAACACCGGUGGCGAAGGCGGCAUCCUGGACCGGCAUUGACGCUGAGGAGCGAAAGCCAGGGGAGCAAACGGG
rnacentral:rRNA from 1 species